CACUUAGAGGGGCAUUUAGGCAGAGAGCUCUACAAGGCCCUUGCAAGGGCCCUGAAAUAGAAGCAUGUCUGGGAUAUUUCUACAAUAGCAAAGAGGCGUGUGAUGCCAAGUGGUAUGAAUCAAGGAAGAGUAGCAGGCAGAGGUCAACUGCUGAGAAGUGGGAGAAGGAGAAGUGAAAAGUUUGAGGAGCAUAAAUGGCUGAAGUGGCUACCAGAGAAAACUGGAGAGACUGCUAUGCAGCACUGAGGGCCCAGUUGAGGACCCCACUGAAAAUCGGACUGUUCAACUCACCGGCAGCCACUUCCAGAGCCCCUGGCCCAAGGCUCUCUGAAUGACUCCUUCCCAGAUCUUCUUGGCUUAGCAGCUGAAGAUUGAUAGCCUCAGAAGCCUACAGGACCAUCACAGAUGCUCUAGGUAACUCUCACAGUGGAGGGCUAAAUAAUCACUUUGAGUCAGUUGCCGCAGUGAAACUUGAAACCUGAUCAUUGAAGAAGCCUGCAAGUUAGCAGAAAACAAGUCAUACCAGGAUCUGCUGCUCCAGCUGCAUAUUGAAGAUUCAAGUCUGUUUAAAAAUACCCUUAUGUUUCUAGUUAGUUUCAUUGCUAUAAUAUAAUUCAAGCCUUAAAUAACUUACCAAAGUUGUUUUCUUGAAGAAUAUUAUAUAUUCAUACCUACCUAUAACUUCUAGGUGGCUCACCAUAAUCUUAUAAGAUUAUAGUGAUGUGAUAUAUAACUAUAUAGUGAUAUGAUAUAUGAUAUAGUAAUGAUGUAUAACUAUAAUCUUAUAAGACUAUAGUGAUAUGAUAUACAACACUGCUUAAGCAUAAUUUGUGGGAAAUGACGUGCUGGUUACAUGAAUUUUCUGGUUAAGCCCUUUUAUCUUUCAAUCUUGUCACAUGAUUCAGGAUUUUGAGUUGCUUCGUUUCUGAAAAUGAUGCUGUUAUUGAGAGCAGAACCUAUGCUGCUAGAUGCUGUUUUGAUAUUAUUUUGCUGCUGUUUCAUUUGUUGUUGUCAUUUGUCUCUAUUAAGGGCAGAUCCUUUCCCCUUCUCUCUUCUCUCUGUCUCUUCUCUCUCUCUCUCCCUUUUUCUGUCUGCUUUAUGUAUGUGUGUGUGUGUGUGUGUGUAUAAUUGAGGUGCCAAUUAAUGCAAGUUAAUCGGGUUCUGAUUAACUUGGGGUUUUACUAUUAGCAGGCCAAAUUACCUCACCCCUAGAAACACCUGGAAUAUAUUCCCUUCUUUUUCUUGUCCCAGUCACUAUUCCUUCUUAAUGAAAACAAAACAAAACUUAUUCACAAAGCCAUGUCUCCCAACUACUUGUGAAAACCCAUUGUUAACAGCUAUCAAAAGCCCAUUUAUACUUAAAUUUGCCAAGUUGAUAUUUGGUAGUUCUGAAUAUAUAAAACCCCUUUGGUUAUCAAGAGAGAAUACAGCCUAUAUUAGUUUGUUCUCAUGCUGCUAUGAAGAAAUGCCGGAGACUGGGUAAUUUACAAAGGAAAGAGGUUUAAGUGACUCACAGUUCCACAGGGCUGGGGAGGCCUCAGAAAACUUACAAUCAUGGUGAAGGGGGAAGCAAACACGUCCUUCUUCACAUGGCAGCAGGAAAGAGAAGAAUGAGAGCCAAGUGAAGGGGGAAGUCUCUUAUAAAAUUAUCAGAUCUCGUGAGAACUUACUACCAUCAGAAUAGCAUGGGGGAAAAUGUCCCCACGAUUCAAUUACCUCCUACUGGGUCCCUCCCACGACAUGUGGGGAUUAUGGGAACUACAAUUCAAGAUGAGACUUGGGUGGGGACACAGCCAAACCACAUCACAGCCUAUAAGGUAUGAAGAAAUAGGGCAGAUCUAACAAUGAUUUGCACAGUCCUAAGCCCUAGACAGUGGGGGAAAUUGUUGGCAUACCAAAAAGUCACCACUACCACCAUUAAUUUAUUCAGCAAAUUUGUAAAAAGUCUACUAUGUGCAAAUCACUAUACUAAGGGCCAUAAAGAGGACAAGGCAUGAUCUAGUAGUUUAAUAUGGAGACUAAUAGUUUGAGCAGAGCUAGUAUGUCACACAUGCCAUGUUCAUGGUUCAGGAAAUAAUAUGACAAUUCAAAGGAGGAUGAUGUCACUUCUGGGUAUGUGAUAAAGGAAAAUUUUGUAAAAGAGAUGAUGUCUGAGCUGAUCCUUGAAGAAGGUGUAAGAGUUUAGUAAGCAGAGUUGACAGAGUCCAGUGAAAACAAAGAGGCAGGAAAGCCCAAGUCUGUUCAGGGGCUGUGAGGAAAGAUGCGUGAACGAGAAAAAUGACAAAAAGGGUUAGAAAGGCAGGUAGGAUUCAAUCAGGGAAAACUACUCCCAGCUAGAUUUUGAACCUUAUUCCAAAUAAAUGAACAGUUUUGACCAAAGCCCUGGUCAAAGGCUCAGACUUUUUAUCAGAUAGAUUUGAGCUCCAAUCCUGAUUCUACUUACUAUUUAUGACCUUGAGCAAGUCACCUACCUUACCUCUCUAAGCCUCAGGUUGAUCACCUCUAUCUCACAGGGCUGCUAUCAGGUUUAAGUGUAACUGGGAUAUGAAACACUCACUCAUUCUGAAAAUAUUUACUGACCCUUCACUGUAUAUGUCCCAGACACUGAGCUUUGUAGUGCUAAUACAGAGAUAAAGGUAGAAACCCUUCCUUCAAGGAACACAUGAGCCAAUGCGUAAGGCAGAUAAGUAAACAGAAAACUACAAUACAGUAUGAGUAAGCACACGGGCAGAGGUGUUCAAUAACUCAGAUCAGGGGUGGGGGUGGUAAAGAAAACUGACCAGAGGAGGUACUCCCUGAGGCAUCUCAAAGGAUCCUUUGAAGAGGGAUAGAAAUAGAACUUACUUUCUAAGGUCUGAUUAUUUUUAUUAGCCUUUACAUUAACAUGCAGUUUCUAGCAGAAACAAACAUUUAAAACUCUAAAUAAAUUUUUGUUGUUAUUGUUA